GGAAGUGAAGGUGAUCUGGCUGCAACAUCGGUCACCCCAUCAAUUGCCAGGUUGAUUCAGCUGAUCUGGCUGGCUAGGUGGGUGUUCCCUUCCUCCCUCCCCACUCCAUGUGUGUCCCUCCAAAGCUGCAUGCUCAAAGAGGACGGCCAUCCUCGAUACAGGAGGACCAGUUUUCAGUCAAGGGUAUAUGAGUAGCUACGCCCUCCUGCUAGAACCUCCAAACAAGCUCUCAAGAGUGGAAGAGAGACAUUAGCAAAUUUGUGCAGGAAAGACAGCAUAUGGA
rnacentral:snRNA from 1 species